rnacentral:rRNA from 1 species
AACUAGUACGAAAAAANAAAAAAAAAAAAAAAAAAAAGACAAGAAAGUAGAAAGAACGAAAGAAAAGAAAAAAAAAAGAAAAAAAAAGAAAAGGAGAAACAAAAAGAAAAAGAAAAAGAGAAAGAAAAGAAGAAAAGAAAAAAGAAAAAAAGAAAAGAAAAAAGAAAAAGUUAAAUGUUUUGCAUUUAUUUAUCUAAUUAAUUGUAUUCAAUAAUCAAUUCAAAGAAACACGUUGUUUUUUGUAAAAGUUAAUUAAACCAUUGGUGGAGGCAUCAUGUGACUGGAUGGUUUGGUCAUUUUCCAAUUCAGGCAAAAUAGUUUUAGCAAGUUGUUUUCCAAGCUCCACUCCCCAUUGAUCUUGUUAUUGAU